rnacentral:rRNA from 1 species
GACGAACGCUGGCGGCGUGCUUAACACAUGCAAGUCGAGCGGUAAGGCCCUUUCGGGGGUACACGAGCGGCGAACGGGUGAGUAACACGUGGGUGACCUGCCCUCAGCUCUGGGAUAAGCCCGGGAAACUGGGUCUAAUACUGGAUAUGACUCCAUGACGCAUGUUGUGGGGUGGAAAGCCUUGUGCGGCUGGGGAUGGGCCCGCGGCCUAUCAGCUUGUUGGUGGGGUGAUGGCCUACCAAGGCGACGACGGUAGCCGGCCUGAGAGGGCGACCGGCCACACUGGGACUGAGACACGGCCCAGACUCCUACGGGAGGCAGCAGUGGGGAAUCUUGCGCAAUGGGCGAAAGCCUGACGCAGCGACGCCGCGUGAGGGAUGACGGCC